GAUGAACGCUGGCGGCGUGCCUAACACAUGCAAGUCGAGCGGACGGACGAGAAGCUUGCUUCUCUGAUGUUAGCGGAGGACGGGUGAGUAACACGUGGAUAACCUACCUAUCAGACUGGUAUCACUUCGGAAAACCGGAGCUAAUACCGGAUAAUAUUUUGAACCGCAUGGUUCAAAAGUGAAAGACGGCCUUGCUGUCACUUAUAGAUGGAUCCGCGCUGCAUUAGCUAGUUGGUAAGGUAACGGCUUACCAAGGCAACGAUGCAUAGCCGACCUGAGAGGGUGAUCGGCCACACUGGAACUGAGACACGGUCCAGACUCCUACGGGAGGCAGCAGUAGGGAAUCUUCCGCAAUGGGCGAAAGCCUGACGGAGCAACGCCGCGUGAGUGAUGAAGGUCUUCGGAUCGUAAAACUCUGUUAUUAGGGAAGAACAUAUGUGUAAGUAACUGUGCACAUCUUGACGGUACCUAAUCAGAAAGCCACGGCUAACUACGUG
rnacentral:rRNA from 1 species